rnacentral:rRNA from 1 species
AACGAACGCUGGCGGCAGGCUUAACACAUGCAAGUCGAACGCCCCGCAAGGGGAGUGGCAGACGGGUGAGUAACGCGUGGGAACAUACCCUUUCCUGCGGAAUAGCUCUGGGAAACUGGAAUUAAUACCGCAUACGCCCUACGGGGGAAAGAUUUAUCGGGGAAGGAUUGGCCCGCGUUGGAUUAGCUAGUUGGUGGGGUAAAGGCCUACCAAGGCGACGAUCCAUAGCUGGUCUGAGAGGAUGAUCAGCCACAUUGGGACUGGAGACACGGCCCAAACUCCUACGGGAGGCAGCAGUGGGGAAUAUUGGACAAUGGGCGCAAGCCUGAUCCAGCCGUGCCGCGUGAGUGAUGAAGGCCUUAGGGUUGUAAAGCUCUUUCACCGAUGAAGAUAAUGACGGUAGUCGGAGAAGAAGCCCCGGCUAACUUCGUGCCAGCAGCCGCGGUAACAC